UACGUAGGGGGCUAGCGUUGUCCGGAUUUAUUGGGCGUAAAGAGCUCGUAGGCGGAUCUUUUAAGUCGGGGGUGAAAGCCCAGGGCUCAACCCUGGAAUUGCCUUCGAUACUGAAGAUCUCGAGACCGGAAGAGGUAAGUGGAACUGCGAGUGUAGAGGUGAAAUUCGUAGAUAUUCGCAAGAACACCAGUGGCGAAGGCGGCUUACUGGUCCGGUUCGACGCUGAGGCGCGAAACGUGGGGCAAGCAGGAGU
rnacentral:rRNA from 1 species